GUGUCAGCAGCCGCGGUAACACGUAGGGGACGAGCGUUGUCCGGAUUUAUUGGGCGUAAAGCGCGCGUAGGCGGCCAUGCAAGUCGGGUGUGAAAUCCCGGGGCUCAACUCCGGGACUGCAUCCGAUACUGCACGGCUCGAGGUAGGUAGGGGAGAUCGGAAUUCCUGGUGUAGCGGUGAAAUGCGCAGAUAUCAGGAGGAACACCGGUGGCGAAGGCGGAUCUCUGGGCCUUACCUGACGCUGAUGCGCGAAAGCUAGGGGAGCGAACAGGAUUAGAUACCCUGGUAGUCC
rnacentral:rRNA from 1 species